rnacentral:rRNA from 1 species
UACGUAGGGGGCAAGCGUUGUCCGGAAUUAUUGGGCGUAAAGAGCGCGUAGGCGGUCCGAUAAGUCGGCUGUGAAAGUCAGGGGCUCAACCCUUGAAAGCCGGCCGAUACUGUCGGACUAGAGUCCGGAAGAGGCAAGUGGAAUUCCCGGUGUAGCGGUGAAAUGCGCAGAUAUCAGGAGGAACACCGGUGGCGAAGGCGGGUCUCUGGGCAACAACUGACGCUGAGGAGCGAAAGCGUGGGGAGCGAACAGG